AGGUUAUAAUGAGGACACUUUCGUAAUAAAUCUUUUUACCUCUCUCAUGCUUCAUACAAAGAUUCAUUCUCAAAUUGAGUGAAUGUGGGAAUAUUAUUCCUUAGCUU